rnacentral:lncRNA from 1 species
GUCGUCUUAAUAGAACAUGGGCAGAACUGUAGUGUUAUCAAGACAAACUUCUUCGUCGAAUGAAUUGUGAAAAUCAGCAUGAAAUAGGCAAUGGUUUUGAAAUUUCUCUGCAGUAUUCUUUUAUAUGUCCUACACUCUGGUUAAAUUAUCAUGUGUGAUCCCUCACUCAGAAGGAUAAACUGAAUAACCACGGAUAAAGAUUAGCCAUAAUUCCGAUGGAUGCGUUAACGAAUCACGUCAUUAGAUAUAUUACGUCAUUAUUGUGUAGUGCACUUUUUGCCUACUUUUUUUAUUUUUUUGCACGUUUUCUAAUCUGUUCUUUGUAAAGGUAUUCAGGUAUUUGAGUAACUUCUAUCUUCUAUAUUUUAUGUAUGUACAAUUUUAUUUGUAUUAUAUUCUUUCAAUUUUUGCAAAGUAAACGCUUAA